AUACGGAGGGUGCAAGCGUUAUUCGGAAUCACUGGGCGUAAAGGAUGCGUAGGCGGGUUGGCAAGUCAGAUGUGAAAUCCUACAGCUUAACUGUAGAACUGCAUUUGAAACUGCUAACCUAGAGUAUGGGAGGGGGAGAUGGAAUUAGUGGUGUAGGGGUAAAAUCCGUAGAUAUCACUAGGAAUACCGAAAGCGAAGGCGAUCUCCUGGAACAUAACUGACGCUAAGGCGUGAAAGCGUGGGGAGCAAACAGGAUUAGAAACCCUAGUAGUCC
rnacentral:rRNA from 1 species